rnacentral:rRNA from 1 species
UCCUACGGGGGGCAGCAGUGGGGAAUAUUGGGCAAUGGGCGCAAGCCUGACCCAGCAACGCCGCGUGAAGGAAGAAGGCUUUCGGGUUGUAAACUUCUUUUCUCAGGGACGAAGCAAGUGACGGUACCUGAGGAAUAAGCCACGGCUAACUACGUGCCAGCAGCCGCGGUAAUACGUAGGUGGCAAGCGUUGUCCGGAUUUACUGGGUGUAAAGGGCGUGCAGCCGGGCCGACAAGUCAGAUGUGAAAUCCGCGGGCUUAACCCGCGAACUGCAUUUGAAACUAUUGGUCUUGAGUACCGGAGAG